rnacentral:rRNA from 1 species
UACGUAGGUCCCGAGCGUUGUCCGGAUUUAUUGGGCGUAAAGCGAGCGCAGGUGGUUUAUUAAGUCUGGUGUAAAAGGCAGUGGCUCAACCAUUGUAUGCAUUGGAAACUGGUAGACUUGAGUGCAGGAGAGGAGAGUGGAAUUCCAUGUGUAGCGGUUAAAUGCGUAGAUAUAUGGAGGAACACCGGUGGCGAAAGCGGCUCUCUGGCCUGUAACUGACACUGAGGCUCGAAAGCGUGGGGAGCAAACAGG